AAGGUCCACUCGCCAGGGCCCCUGGUGGCCAUUGUCCUGCUUAUCUCAGCCUCCUGAUUGGAGCCUGGCCUGCCUUGAGACAGGUGCGGUACCACCGAGCUAUAUUCCCAGCCUCAACGGAGCUUCGGUCUUUACUGGGGACUGUCUUUACUCGCCAUACCAGGUACUGGAACCAUCCAAGGGGGUGCGGAGCCGGAGCCCAGCUCCCGUCAGAGAAGCAGACAGCAGGAGGUGCUGACAUUUAUUCAAACUUUGUCCAUACAGUAAGACCAUUGAUUUUUAAGUUUCAUUUACAUCAGCAGUAAAAACAAAAGUAACAGUGAACGAAAUGUGACAUUGUAAAGUGCCAUUACGAGGAAGAGACCACAGAGGGCAGGCUCCUGCUGAGAUGGGAGGAGCUCGGCCUGAACAACAGACAGGGGCAGCUAUGUCCCACAUCGCUCUCCAAAUCUGUGUUCACUGGAAAAGCCACCGAGUGUCCACGCGUCUUCUGUCGGCUGCGAGUCUCUGGGGUCUGGCAGCGACGGCUCUGCACCGUGGGAGGCAGGGCGCGAGGCCUUGACCACAGUGGGGUGGCGCCACAGGGUGAGGGCGCAGGGAGAGGGCCGUAAAGUGACACUGCUCAGCAGCUUGAGACAUAAAUACGUCCUUUACAUCAGAGCAUAUGUACACACGUGCACAUAUAUACACACAUACAAAAAUAUCUGCCUCGCUGGGCACUGAAAGUGAUUCAAAAGAAGAGAAUUGGCUUCUGAGACACACAGAAAAGGAGAAAAAUAGAAGAGCUUUCACCCGGCUCUGCCGCGACUUGGAUAACGGAGAAGCCCCAUGUCCAGGUCCACCCUGGCGACUCUGACCAGCACCUGGCACGCAGACUUCCUGCAAGGCGGCCGCAGGGGCACAGGGAAGGGCGCGGAGGUCCUGCCUGCCCCUGGGGAGGCCAGGUGAGGAUGCAGUGAACGCUCAUAUCCCAAGUGCAGCUGACAGUGUUGGGCCACAGAGACCCUGCAGAAAUUGCAUCUUUACAUUUUUCUUUAAAAACAAUAAAAAUAUCCUGACUCA